rnacentral:rRNA from 1 species
AGAAUCAACGCUGGCGGCGUGCCUAACACAUGCAAGUCGAACGAGAAAGUGGAGCAAUCCAUGAGUAAAGUGGCGCACGGGUGAGUAACACGUGACUAACCUACCCUGGAGUGGGGGAUAACUGAGGGAAACCUUAGCUAAUACCGCAUAAUACCUACGGGUCAAAGGAGCAAUUCGCUUCAGGAGGGGGUCGCGGCCGAUUAGUUAGUUGGCGGGGUAAUGGCCCACCAAGACGAUGAUCGGUAUCCGGCCUGAGAGGGCGCACGGACACACUGGAACUGAAACACGGUCCAGACUCCUACGGGAGGCAGCAGUGGGAAUUUUGCGCAAUGGGGGAAACCCUGACGCAGCAACGCCGCGUGGAGGAUGAAGUCCUUCGGGACGUAAACUCCUUUCGAUCGGGACGAUUAUGACGGUACCGGAAGAAGAAGCCCCGGCUAACUUCGUGCCAGUAGCCGC